rnacentral:rRNA from 1 species
UACAGAGGUCUCAAGCGUUGUUCGGAUUCAUUGGGCGUAAAGGGUGCGUAGGCGGCGCCGUAAGUCAGGUGUGAAAUCUCGGGGCUCAACCCCGAAACUGCACUUGAUACUGCGGUGCUAGAGGACUCGAGAGGAGAUUGGAAUUCACGGUGUAGCAGUGAAAUGCGUAGAUAUCGUGAGGAAGACCAGUGGCGAAGGCGGAUCUCUGGAGAGUUCCUGACGCUGAGGCACGAAGGCCAGGGGAGCAAACGGG